UUAACCGUAUAGGGGAGCCGCAGGGAAACCGAGUCUUAACCGGGCGUUAAGUUGCAGGGUAUAGACCCGAAACCCGGUGAUCUAGCCAUGGGCAGGUUGAAGGUUGGGUAACACUAACUGGAGGACCGAACCGACUAAUGUUGAAAAAUUAGCGGAUGACCUGUGGCUGGGGGUGAAAGGCCAAUCAAACCGGGAGAUAGCUGGUUCUCCCCGAAAGCUAUUUAGGUAGCGCCUCGUGAAUUCAUCUCCGGGGGUAGAGCACUGUUUCGGCUAGGGGGCCAUCCCGGCUUACCAACCCGAUGCAAACUGCGAAUACCGGAGAAUGUUAUCACGGGAGACACACGGCGGGUGCUAACGUCCGUCGUGAAGAGGGAAACAACCCAGACCGCCAGCUAAGGUCCCAAAGUCAUGGUUAAGUGGGAAACGAUGUGGGAAGGCCCAGACAGCCAGGAUGUUGGCUUAGAAGCAGCCAUCAUUUAAAGAAAGCGUAAUAGCUCACUGGUCGAGUCGGCCUGCGCGGAAGAUGUAACGGGGCUAAACCAUGCACCGAAGCUGCGGCAGCGA
rnacentral:rRNA from 1 species